rnacentral:lncRNA from 1 species
AGGAACUGACUUUCUUAAUAGGACUCUUUAAGGUGCGAGAUGUAAAAUCAAUAAUAAAUGGGAAGACAUCGAACUAGAAAUAUUCCUCACAGAAGACAAUCAAGAGCAUGAAGAGAGAGCCUACAGAAUGGGAGAGAAAUCUUUGCCACCUGUACCUCAAAUAAAGCAUUAGUUUCAAGGAUAUACAAAGAAUUCAAGAAAUUUAACACCAAAAAGCAAAUAGCCCAAUCAGUACAUGGGCAAAGGAACUAAACGGACCUCUCUCAAAAGGAGAAAUAUGAAUGGUUAACAAAUACAUGAAAAAAUGUUCAACAUCUCUGGCAAUUAGAGAAAUGCAAAUCAAAACUACAUUGAGGUUUCACCUCUCUCUAGUCAGAAUGGCAACUAUCAAAAAUACAAGCAACAAUACAUGUUUGCGAGUCAUUUUUUUAUCUAAGUUCCAAACAUGGCUCUGCUGCUUACUCAAAACACAAAUUUUGAAUAUGUAUUUAAACUCCUAGCCUCCUUGCUCUCAUCUGCAAAACAAAAAUAAUAUUAAUGCAGACCAAAUGAUAGUUGAAUGAGCAAUAAAGUGUAUGUACCGGUAUAGUAUAUGAAAUGUAGUAAAUUUUCAAUGAUAUGUUUUAUUGUUAUUAUUCUGGAGAUCCACAUAAUUUCUCAGCUCCUUAGUUUUGCCUCUGUAAUAUAAAAAUAAAAAAAUAUUACAUAAAACCUUAAAUGUACUACUUAAAUAAUAAAAUGUGUUAAGAUGACCACAUUGGUACAGCUGAAUAAUUUUUUUAAAAAGGCAAAAAUCUUAACAUGUUUACUAAAAGGUUUUCUUAGGGGAGGUCUCAAUGUAAUUAUAU